rnacentral:rRNA from 1 species
UGGGGAAUUUUGGACAAUGGGCGCAAGCCUGAUCCAGCAAUGCCGCGUGCAGGAUGAAGGCCUUCGGGUUGUAAUCUGCUUUUGUACGGAGCGAAAAGGUCUGCCCUAAUACGGUGGGCUCAUGACGGUACCGUAAGAAUAAGCACCGGCUAACUACGUGCCAGCAGCCGCGGUAAUACGUAGGGUGCGAGCGUUAAUCGGAAUUACUGGGCGUAAAGCGUGCGCAGGCGGUUAUAUAAGACAGGUGUGAAAUCCCCGGGCUCAACCUGGGACCUGCAUUUGUGACUGUAUAGCUAGAGUACGGUAGAGGGGGAUGGAAUUCCGCGUGUAGCAGUGAAAUGCGUAGAUAUGCGGAGGAACACCGAUGGCGAAGGCAAUCCCCUGGACCUGUACUGACGCUCAUGCACGAAAGCGUGGGGAGCAAACA